rnacentral:rRNA from 1 species
UACGUAGGUGUCGAGGCGUUGUCCGGAUUUAUUGGGCGUAAAGAGCCCGCAGGCGGCUUGGCAAGUUUGAGGUGAAAUCUCCCGGCUUAACUGGGAGGGGGCUUCGAAAACUGCCAGGCUUGAGGCAUGGAGAGGGAUGCGGAAUUCCCGGUGUAGUGGUGAAAUGCGUAGAUAUCAGGAGGAACACCGAUGGCGAAGGCAGAUCUCUGGGCCGUAACUGACGCUGAGGAGCGAAAGCAUGGGGAGCGAACGAG